rnacentral:piRNA from 1 species
UGAGCAAAACCGGCACCUUUCUCCAC